AUACGUAUGUCGCAAGCGUUAUCCGGAUUUAUUGGGCGUAAAGCGCGUCUAGGCGGCUUAGUAAGUCUGAUGUGAAAAUGCGGGGCUCAACCCCGUAUUGCGUUGGAAACUGCUAAACUAGAGUACUGGAGAGGUAGGCGGAACUACAAGUGUAGAGGCGAAAUUCGUAGAUAUUUGUAGGAAUGCCGAUGGGGAAGCCAGCCUACUGGACAGAUACUGACGCUAAAGCGCGAAAGCGUGGGUAGCAAACAGGAUUAGAUACCCUGGUAGUCCACGCCGUAAACGAUGAUUACUAGGUGUUGGGGGUCGAACCUCAGCGCCCAAGCUAACGCGAUAAGUAAUCCGCCUGGGGAGUACGUACGCAAGUAUGAAACUCAAAGGAAUUGACGGG
rnacentral:rRNA from 1 species